UAAGCAGAAACGCUGGGGACUUCAGGUGCUGUAAAUCCGGUGGACAGGACUCAUAUCGUUAUAGAUCAAGAUAAUUUAUAAAGAUCUUUAAACGAAGGAUUGGAAUAUCAGAUAGUUGACAUGGUGUGCUACUGUGGGUGGCUCCGGCACACUCGUGGCUACGCCCCUGCCGUGACCCAAAUCUCGUUCGCACAUCAUCGCGAUAUUUAUCAUCUGUUUACAAACGUCGCCACAUCUCAUUUCUUCACAUACAUCUCAUACUCCUCCAUCUACACGCUCCGCAACAUUUAAACCAACGGCUCUUUUAAGAGCCAUCACUUGCAAAAGCUCUCCUACUCACUCACUCACUCUCCAACUCACUCUCCUACUAACUCACUCACUCUCCAACUCACUCACUUUUCUAUAGGGCUGUGUAAAAUAAUCGUCUGUGAUUCUCAU